AACCAUGUUUUAUACUGUGUUUAUACUUUAUAACCAUGUUUGUAAUGUAACAUGCUAGACAAGGUGACUGAGGAAAACAGAGAACUAUACUGGCUGGGAGAUCUAAAUAUUGAUUGGCUGUCGGAUAUUUGUCCUCUGAAGAAUAAGCUUAAAACUAUGACAGACACCUGUGGUUUAUCUCAAUUAAUGGAUCAGCCAACAAGAAUUUCUAGUAACAAUACAAGAUCUUUAACAUCGAAAUGUAUUGAUCAUAUUUAUACUAACAAUCUUGAUGUGUGUUCGACACCUGUUUCUGUAACAGUUGGAUUUAGUGAUCACAACUGUAUUGCGGUCUCUAGGAGAACUAAGCUACCUAAAGCCUGUCCUAAAAUUAUUAUGAAAAGAUCUUAUAGGGCAUUUAAUGAGGAGAGUUUUCUAAAUGAAUUGGAUAAUAUUAAAUGGAAUUUGAUAUGUGACAUUGAUGAUGUAGAUGCAUCUCUUAAUUUAUUUAUGGAUUGUUUUAUGAGAGUUGUUAACAAUCAUGCCCCAUUAAAGAAAUUUACAGUUAAAGCCAAAAGGGCUCCUUGGGUUGACACGGAGUUAAGGAGCUUAAUGGCUCAAAGGGAAGAGGCUAAAAAGGUUGCGGUUCUUUCUGACUCGUUUAAAGACAGAAAAUGUUAUUGUAUUUUAAGGAAUCAGGUAACCAAGGUGAACAGAGUGAAAAAGAAAAAAUAUUUUCAGAAGAGAAUUGACGAUAGUGGUACAGAUUGUAAGAGAAUGUGGAAUGUACUCAAUGAUAUCAUGGGAAAAAAAUCUACUCGUACUUCUUUUGUUGAAUGGAAGGGAGUUUAUUUGACUAAGCCAAUACAGAUUGCAAAUUAUUUUAAUGAUUAUUUUGUAAAUAAGGUUUCUAACUUUAGAGAGACAAUGAAAUCCACUGUUGAUUCCAACUUAAAUGAGCUAAUUGAAAGGUGUAUUAUGAAUGAUAAACUGUGUAGUUUUGAAUUUCAUCGGGUUAAUGUUGUGCAGGUGGAAAUGUUGCUGAGAUCUUUGACUGUUGGUGGGUCUGUUGGUACAGACAACUUGGAUAGUCGGCUGUUGAAGUUAUCAGCUGGGCAUAUCUCUAAACCAAUCUGUCAUAUUUUUAACAGAUGUCUGAUUGAUGGUGAGUGUCCAAAACUUUGGAAGGAGGGUAAGAUAAUUCCUUUACCCAAAGACACAAAAUCAACUUUCUGUGGUUCAAAUAGUAGGCCUAUAAGCAUUUUGCCUAUUCUAAGUAAAUUAUUGGAAAAGAUUGUAUUUAAGCAAGUGCAAGAUUAUUUUUCUAACAAUGAUUUGACUACGAUGUUUCAGCAUGCUUAUAGGUAUGGUCAUUCAACCUGCACUGCAAUGACACAAAUGUCGGAUAGCUGGCUAACAUCAAUUGAUAAUUCAAUGCUAGUGGGUACACUAUUACUGGACUUUAGUGCGGCUUUUGAUGUGAUCGACCACGAAAUUUUGAUUUCCAAACUUAUUAGUUAUGGUUUCACUUCCUCCGCAAUCAAGUGGUUUAAGAGCUAUUUGUCGGAGAGGUCGCAAAGAGUUUAUUUUAAUGGUGCAUUAUCGUGUAGCAAGUCUUUGGAUUGUGGUGUUCCUCAAGGAAGUUGCCUAGGACCUUUGCUAUUUGCAAUUUUUAUAAAUGAUAUGCCCUAUAUACUCAGUAAGGCUACAUUGACUAUGUUUGCUGACGAUACUACUCUUUAUUAUGCAGCUCCUACAUGUUUAGAGCUUAAUCAGGUUCUGUCUUGUGAGAUUAGCAAAUUGUAUAACUGGAUCAAAACAAAUAAACUUGUUCUAAAUAUUUCAAAAACUAUGAGUAUAAUAUUUGGUUCGAAAUAUAGAUUAUCUGAUUAUCCUAAACUUACUUUACAUGUAAAUGGUCAAAAUAUACAGCAAGUAAAAAAGGUAAAGCUUCUUGGACUUUGGCUUGAUUCCACACUGUCAUGGUCUGAUCACAUUAAUACAGUUGUGGCUAAAAUGCGUAGAGCUGUUGCAGUUGUGCGUAAAUGUGCACAGUUUCUAAAUUCACAGCUAUUUAGUCGUGUUGUGUGUACGUUGGUUUUGUGUCAUUUAGAUUACUGUUCUGUUGUAUGGUCUGCUGCAUCAAGUAGUCAUUUAAGAAAAUUACAAGUGGCUCAAAACAAGGCUGCAAGACUGGUUCUUGGUUGUUCUUCGAGAACCAAUGGUGCGGAGAUGCAUGAACGUCUUGCUUGGAUGUUGGUCAAGCAUAGACUAUCUGCUAAUAUGUUAGUAUACCUUCAUAGAAUUAUUACCAUUCGGACUCCUACAUUUUUUUAUGAUAAUAUAAUUUACUAUUCAGAUAUGCAUUUACAUUACACAAGAGGGGCGAAUAGUCGACAGAUCUCUUUACCCCUACCUAAAUCUGACUCUAUGAAGAGGACAGUGUUUUAUAGGGCAAUUGUGUUUUGGAACAAUCUUCCAGUUGGGGUUCGUGAAAUUAAGGGAAAAACUGGUUUUAAAAAAAGACUAAGACUGUAUUUGUUGUUAACAUCAUAAGAUUGUAUUAUGUGACACUUAUUUUAUUUAAUUUUAUAUUUUAUUUUAUUUUUUUUGUUCUCUCAUGUGUAUUUACAUAUGAUAUAUUUGGGAGUAAUUGUGAUUGUAAUUAUUGGGUUUUUGUAUGUAUUGUUUGGACCCCAGGAAGACUAGCUGUCGUUUCGGCGUCAGCUAAUGGGGAUCCUUUUGAAAUAAACAAAUAAACAAAUAAACAAAUAAACCAGUUAAAUAUAAACUUUAUCCUCGGCGCCUCGGAUCCUAUCCACGUUAAUACAGAGUAAAUAUUUUUUUCAAAUUAUAGAGACAUAAGAUUUAUCUUCAUGUAUUACAGUGAACCUAAUAAUUUUAUAAAAAAAUACAGGUUUGCAUAUUUGGCACUUAACUAUAUUAAUGUCAAAAGGGUUAUAGACGAUUUCAUUGGACGCACGCACCUAGUUCGAAGUUAACUUCUGGUCUGUGUUUGUUGAUCGAUCUUGCUAGUGGCUAAUAAUAUAUAUUGUAUUUUAUUUCUAUGAAUAUUUUAUUAUAUAAUAUUAAACAAACAAUUUGUUCAAUUUUAUUGUAUAUUCAUUUGGCUCGUGUAACUUUGCCGCAUUUAAGUUUAGCCAAGUAACGGUUCUUCUACUGGUAACCCAAAAUAAUACUGGCUAGACGUACUUUCAAUUUGCUUGCUAAUGUAAUUUGCUUUAAUGUAAUUUUCCUUUCCUUUGCACAACUAAUCUGUGUACAUUGCCUUUUGACUUUGCAGAAUGAUGCAUGCAAGAUGGCAAAAAAGAAAACCAUCUUGCUGGUCAUUUUAUGUGACAUGGUACGCCAGUUUAUUGUAGUAUGCCCAAAAAUGGCUUCCGUUGGUUUCAUGAAGGCUAAUCAUUAUUUUUCUGAAAUAUCAGCUCAUUUAUAGCAGGCAGAUCCAACCACAGAUAAUCUUUUUAAUUCUACUUAAUGCAUUCAUAUUUUCUGUUCAAUAGCUGUAGUCAGGCAGCAAUGAUUUCUUUUUGUAAACUGAUUUUGUCAAUAUUCCAGUGUUUUCUCACAUUGGGGUAAUCUUUUGACAAGCAAAAAUGUUUAAAGUGAAUGAUUAAAGAUUAUAUUGUCACACUGCUAAAAGCCAAAUGAGCAUAAACACAUUUUCAUAUCACGACACGGUCCUAAGCAUUAGUAUGACAGACAAUGAAUAAAUAAUAUAGCAAAGACUCUAUUUCCAAGUCUCCAAAUAGCAUUUUGAUGGCCCAAAUGAAUAUACAGACUUGCUUUUCCACUUACACUGGAAAAUCUACUCAUUUCUUGUAUAAUUUUGUGGCAUAUCGCUGAUGGGGAUGUGUUUUAACAACACGAGGACAGACUGGUGUGCUGCCUAACAACCCUAAAUGUCUGUGUAGUGCAGAACGUUCAACUCUUCCGAUAAGAGGACACAAUCAGACUCAAAUUAACAUUUAGAUGACCAUAAAACCUUGCAAGCCAGUGGGAGGCGAACUCAGGAGGAGUGUGAGGUCGCAGUCUACCCCAGAAGACCCGUGGGUUGCAGACACGCAAAAGGAGUUGUGUCCCCUCUGGGUGACACAAGCAGCAGGGGUCUCUGGACUACAUUGAACUCACCCCACUGUUAGACACGUCCCGACACACGCAGGCACCUCCGACGUUUCAUUGGCUAUCAACCCUUGGAUGUCCUGCUGGAUCCUGUCUCUACAUUAAGCUCCCUUGAGCCUUACAGCUUCAGUGACACUCCUCCACCCUGGCUUUUAAUAACUCUCUAGUUGUAUCGGCUUUUGCGACAAAGAUUCACUCUGCUGCAUCUGCGGCCCCCACGUUCUGAAAUUCGUUCCUUGCUGCUCUUCUCUUCAUCCAUCCAUAAAGCUGCCACAAACUUGGGGAAUGUGAGGUAGAUUUACUGCAAGAGUGUCUUUCUGUCCUUGAGCUGGCAACCAUUGUAAUGUUUCAAUAGACACAAGCCUUUGAACUUAAAUGUGAACAGUCCAAUACAAGUUGCGGAAAUAGGGGUCUCGUGGCCCUAGCUGACACAGCAGAGAGACAACGCCGUUCCGCCUCCGUAAUUUCCUAAGCUACAGAUGUGAUCUUCACCUAAAUGUGAAGUCACGAUGUUACCUUUACAGCUGGCUUUUCAUAGAUUUUUGCUUACGACGUAGCUGUUGAUUCUGACUGCUUAUGUAAGAGUGAAUCAAAUGCUUUCCUGUGGCUCAGUGGUUAGAGCAUAGCACUCACAACGCCAAGGUCAUGGGUUUGAUCCCAGGGAAUUGCACAUAGUCAGAAUUAAAUGUAUAGAACCAUGCAAUGUAAGUCGCUUUAGAUAAAAGUGUAAAAUGCAUAAAUGUAAGUUUUGUAAAACAGGAGUUUUUGAUAUUCAACUUUUUACUCUUGUGUGAGUAUAGCAUUUAGCACAUUGCAUUGUGGACCAAAUCUAAAGAGAGAUUAAAUAUGAAAUUAAACAUUUAUGCAAACAUGAUUUUUAAAAGAUUUGUGUUGCAGAUGCAGAUAGAAAGUGAUAAACAAUUUCCACUUUGCACAUAGUACUAUACUAAUACUCUGAAAUACAUUGCAUGGUUGUAGUACAAUUUUUUUAAUGCACCAAAGCUCAGAUCGGAUCAAGUUACAAAGGAAAUUGUUUAAAGGGGUCAUAUGCGCGAACACGUGUUUUUAUUUGUCUUUGGUGUGUUAUAAGAUCCCCAUGGAUGUAUGAGACACUUAAAAUUGGAAAAAAAGAUGGAUUCUAUCUAAAAGCGAAUGCUCACCCAGACCUGCCUGAAACAACUCAUGUAACCACACCCCCACAAAUCUACAUCAGUUCGUCAGAUUUGAAUUGACUAAGACCGUCCAAAUGUAUACGCAAGUAAGUUCGGCGUAUCUGUCAGUAUAAUUACUUUGGAACCUGAUGUUCCAAAUAUGGUAAGUAGCGUUAUAUUUCCGUCACAGGCUUGUAGUAAUCGACCUAUCACUACGCACAUGUUAACUGGCCGUUUCAGAGAGGAGGAGCAAAGAGGAAAUACAAACAUGCACGGUAUGUCAUGUAU